rnacentral:rRNA from 1 species
AAUAUUUGACAAUGGGGGCAACCCUGAUCCAGCCAUGCCGCGUGUGUGACGAAGGUCUUCGGAUUGUAAAGCACUUUAAGUUGGGAGGACGGUCUUUAGGUUAAUACCCUGAAGUUUUGACGUUACCAACAGAAUAAGCACCGGCUACCUCUGUGCCAGCAGCCGCGGUAAUACAGAGGGUGCAAGCUUUAAUCGCAAUUACUGGGCGUAAAGCGAGCGUAGGUGGUUCAGUAAGAUGGGUGUGAAAUCACCGGGCUUAAACUGGGAACUGCUGUCAUAACUGCUGAGCUAGAGUACGGUAGAGGGUAGUGGAAUUUCCUGUGUAGCGGUGAAAUGCGUAGAUAUAGGAAGGAACACCAGUGGCGAAGGCGACUACCUGGACUGAUACUGACACUGAGGUGCGAAAGCGUGGGGAGCAAACA